AGGUGGGUAAGUUAAAUUAAACUAUGGGGUUCAUGUCCCCACAAUAUGGUUACAUCUCACUAA
rnacentral:tRNA from 1 species